rnacentral:rRNA from 1 species
CGCUGGCGGCGUGCCUAACACAUGCAAGUCGAACGAGAAACUUCCCUUCGGGGAGAUAGUAAAGUGGCGCAAGGGUGAGUAACUCGUGAAUAAUCUGCCUACGAAUUCGGGAUAACUUAGCGAAAGCUGUGCUAAUACCGGAUAAGACCACAUCUCUCAUGAGAUGCGGCCAAAGGAGUCUCAAACUCCGUUUGUAGAUGAGUUCGCGGACCAUUAGCUUGUUGGCGGGAUAACAGCCCACCAAGGCGAUGAUGGUUAGCCGGCCUGAGAGGGUGAUCGGCCACACUGGAACUGAGACACGGUCCAGACUCCUACGGGAGGCAGCAGUGGGGAAUAUUGCGCAAUGGGCGAAAGCCUGACGCAGCAACGCCGCGUGAGGGAUGAAGGCCUUUGGGUCGUAAACCUCUGUCAAAUGGGAAGAAUUCUGACGGUACCAUUAGAGGAAGCCCCGGCUAACUCCGUGCCAGCAGCCGCGGUAAUACGGAGGGGGCAAGCGUUGUUCGGAAUCAUUGGGCGUA